rnacentral:rRNA from 1 species
AGAGUUUGAUCCUGGCUCAGAUUGAACGCUGGCGGCAUGCCUUACACAUGCAAGUCGAACGGCAGCACGGGUGCUUGCACCUGGUGGCGAGUGGCGAACGGGUGAGUAAUAUAUCGGAACGUACCUUAUCGUGGGGGAUAACGCAGCGAAAGCUGCGCUAAUACCGCAUACGCCCUGAGGGGGAAAGCGGGGGACCGUAAGGCCUCGCGCGAUUAGAGCGGCCGAUAUCUGAUUAGCUUGUUGGUGGGGUAAAAGCCCACCAAGGCGACGAUCAGUAGCUGGUCUGAGAGGACGAUCAGCCACACUGGGACUGAGACACGGCCCAGACUCCUACGGGAGGCAGCAGUGGGGAAUUUUGGACAAUGGGGGCAACCCUGAUCCAGCGAUGCCGCGUGAGUGAAGAAGGCCUUCGGGUUGUAAAGCUCUUUUGUCAGGGAAGAAACAGCAGCUCUAACACAGUCUGCGAAUGACGGUACCUGAAGAAUAAGCACCGGCUAACUACGUGCCAGCAGCCGCGGUAAUACGUAGGGUGCAAGCGUUAAUCGGAAUUACUGGGCGUAAAGCGUGCGCAGGCGGUUAUACAAGACAGGCGUGAAAUCCCCGGG